GGAGAGUUAGUCAUGGGGAUUUUGUCAGCCACAUCAUGGAGAGCGUAGACAGGACCACGGUACAUGGCCGCCGCCGAGGUCAGGUCAGGGGGCGCGGUAAGGAGAUCAGCUAAAAGGGAAGAGAGAAGGAGUCUCAAGUGUCAGCACUCGUUUGUUACGGGACGUUUCAAGGACAGGACUUUCCGGUUUGACAAACUUUGUCUUCAUAUCAUCAUGAGAACUUAAAAAAAAAAAAAGAGAAAGGAUAUCGAGGCAACGAUCGUUUAUAGCUGCUACAGCAAAAGCAGUAUCAGGAAGUAGCUUGUUCCGUAGAUGAUGUAUGCUAUUAUGAUAAGCUCAUCAACCUCAGGUAUUUAUGAGUAACAAAAGCAGUGUUUGGAAUCAGCAGCAUUGCAUCACCCUGUUGUUCAUUAUUUUCCAAUAACAGCACUCCCCCCAUGUGGUUUAGUGCCUUGCUGGUAAACAGAUUUUCAUAACAGUUUGCCUUUAAUACGAUAUUCAUCAGUAUAAAACAUCAGUAGACAGCUCGACUUGCAUAGAAAACAAAAACCUCUGCAAUAUAGACCGAGAAACAGGAGGAUUUUCUGUACUGUACAUUUCUGCUGCAGCUGCAGUGCUUGAGAAUAAGCUUGUAUUUGCCCUUGUGUUCGUGUCUGUCUUGCCCUUUCUGCAAGAUCGAUAUGUCAAGAAAAUGUCAUUUGUCUGUGGGUUGAGUAAUCAAAGCCCUCAACAGGAACAUCAUAACAAACACAGACUGCUGAAAAAGCACAAAAGAAAAAAACCCCAUCGGUCUGAGCGGGAAAUCUAAAGCAGAUAUUUUAGUCUAUAUAUCAGAAUAACAGGACUGUGCAUGCUAUUUGACCCGAAACACAACAAUCCAAGAGCAGAUCUCAAUAACACCUCAUUUGUGAGGCUUACAAGCAAUCUGAAUGCACAGAAGUGAUUUCUGGGAAGAGGAAAUGUAAAAUUGUACAUAAGUGAUUUGUAGGACUAGUGAAGGCUUCUGUCGAGGGUGAGAUCAGGGUCCGUCUGGAACAGUGUGAGUUCACAUAUCUCACACACACACAAAAAAAACCCUAUUCUCAAUGAUAUCUGCAAUAAUGUGAGCUUUUAGAGAAUGUGGAUUUCUCCUAAAUGCACAGCGAAAUGGUCAUUAGCAUGGACAUAAGUGGUUUCACCCUUUUAACUCGGGGAGAGAGGGGGAAAAAAAUCAAUCAGGGGAAGUGAGCCUAAAUCUAUAUCGUUAUGGGUUUUAUAUUCUCCACAAACUGGUCAUCAAUCUGACAUAGAACUAAUGCUUUCGAAAAAAAAACAACAAAAAAAACAGUAGGACCGACCGAGCAGAGAAGACGAUCGUACACCCUACAGAUCUCACAUCUUCAAACUCAGGCUGCAUUAUUUCUCUUUUUGGAUGAUUACGGACUUAUCGAUCCGCCAAGAUUCCUCUGAUCAAUAGCGUCAUUAAUAUCGUCUCAUUUACAUGUAGAGGCUUUUCGAAUUAAACUGACAUCAUUAAUUGGAUUUUGUAAUGUCAUUAGUGUAAUUCAGGGUGUACUUUUAAUCAAUCGGAUUUUGAUGGCGGUAAUAAUUAAAGUGCAAAGUACAAACGAGCAAAACUUGAAUAAAUAAUACGAAACUAAAAGUGCUUUCAAAGUCAUCGCUGUCUCAUAUAUCGAAUCCGCUUUCGGACCAAGAUACCGAGUGUACGGCUGGGAAACGUGACUAUGUGGUAUCAGUAUCAUGAUAAAUUACACCGCAGUGUGAUGUUCAGACAGUAGAAUCUAUUUAGCAUUAACCGUUGUCGUCCUGUGAUGGACCGACGUCCCGUUCAGGACGCGUUCCCGAUGUACUUACCAAUUUGUUUAAAAAAACAAAACGUCUCAAAAUGUGGCUCUGCCGUUUUUCUGGCACAUGGUACUGUUUUUCCGAUCACAAGAAAUUAUGCAAAUACAUUUCACAAAGUGUGUGUGUGUGUUUUUUUUUUUUUCCCUAAACGCCAGAAGAUCUAUGAGAUCAGAUUACAUUUUAAAACAUAAUUUCUUUUUAAAUUGUAAGCGCAACAUAUAUAUUCGAUAUAAUAUAAGCACACAAAAUUGUUUACUAUAUACAGCCACGUAUAAUAUAUAUGUAAAAAGCUUUUUUUCUUUUUUUUUUUUUUAGUAUAAGACUUUUCCUUUACAAAACAUUCUGAUUUGAAAAUUAUUACAGAGCACUAAAAGAAAAACCUUUUUUUUUCAUUAAGUUUUAAAACACUGGAAGUGUGCAGCAGAGGUAAAAAAAAAAAAAAAAAAAGUCAUCUUGUCAGUCCUUAUAUAACUGGCUCAAACAAAAAAUAAAUAAAUAAAAUAAAAUAAAAAGAAAGAAAUGUAAAAAUCAAGACUUUGGGCUUGACUCCUCCUUGGCCUCUCUGGCUCCUUUCUGUCUCGCUUGCUGAAUUUCGUGGUUUUUAAAUUAGACUCCGGAUCAUAGUAAUCACAGAUGCUUAGCAUUUCUGAAACUUCUUUCUAAGUACAGUAUAAUCACUUAUCGUUAUUUUAAAUAUAGCUCCUGAAUGGUGGGUCUGUGAUAGGGGUAAUUACUUUCUGCAUUGCAGCGUAGGCAGAGCCGUGAUUUAACACUCCUGUGUUCUAUAUUUAGUUUCCCUGCUUGGUUCGACUAAACAAAGGCCAUCGGUACAGUUCUUGGAUUGGAGCACCAUGCCCUCGCAGUCCUUGCCGCCAUUUUUCGGAGCCGGUGCGGUGCACUCUCUCCUCCUCCAGUGGGUGCACUCUGUCCCACAUGUUGACCAUUUACUCCAUUCUGUCCACAAACCGUCCACUGGAAAUGCAGCGAGAGAAUGUGUGCUAAUGAUGGAGCCACAACCACUACUCUGAGCUUCAAGCAGUGUAAUGUGGCUAUUUAUGUACGAUUGCCAUGGCUCCUGAGACAAUGGCAAAAUCCAUCUCACUCAUCACAGCUCGAGAGACUGCGGCUGGGAAACACAUUGCGGCUUUGGACUUCUAAUGACUUGGCUUUUUCUUCACAAUGUGAGAAAAACUUCUUCUUGGCUGGGCUAGAACUUCUGUAAGUCUGAUCUUCCCUCCUGCUGUUCCUGGUCUAAUCAGAAGAUGAGUCUUUCCACUCCUUAUCUUGACCGGAUUUAGCUCUGGUCUCUCCGGAACACUGCAGACAUGCCUUACGACAUGGGCACUGCUGGAAGACUGAUUGCGGGGCAUUCUUUGGAGGAUGAGCCGACUUCAAAGCCUUUCCAUGUUGCCCUUGUGGUCUGCAUUUUGGGCUACAAAGAAAGGCCCAAAAAAAUAACCAGUCCUUUUUGUAAAUGCUUAUUUUGGAUUUGACUGAGCCGCACAUGAUGAAACCUCCUGUGUCUUUAGUACUCCAAGUUACAACAAAAAAAUGGUAUAAUGGCAAAGGAGAGGAAAGAACUUAAAAUAAUAGAGCAGGGAUAAUCCCUAAGCUUUUAUUGCCAUGCUAGUGAUAUAGAGCUCCAUCAUGGAUUCAGACAGGAAGCUAGAAGUGAGAGACCUCAGAGAAACUUGACCCUGGUGACAUCAGCAGCUGCUGAGAACCACCACCCACCACAAGCAUAUCCAGGGGGAUGGAGAAGGAAUUUUUGCAGAUAGGUUUCUAGAUGUCGUUUAGAACAAACAACAAAAGAGCUGUUAGAUGACUAACAGCGAUGCCCUCAUUCACUGAUUCUGACCAAAGUGAGUGUUUAUUCAGAUGCUUCUGACUCAGACAGUGGCUCAGUGGUUGGACAGCUGAUUGGAAGGUUGUGAGUUCAAAUCCAACUAUUGCCACUGUUAAGUUCUUGAGCAAGUACCGUAACCCUUAACUGCUUAUCCUCUCUCAGUUGUCAGUUGCUUUGGAUAAAAUCAUCAACCAAAUAAACAAAAGUAAUCUCUCGGCUCUGUUUUCAAUUUAGAUUCUUUGCAGCUCAGUCUGAACUCCUCACUAAUCUUGCCUCCAUUGCUUUCAAAGCACAAGCCUCCUCCAUUCCCCUUACUCUGACACAGGAGGUCAUUUAUUCUUCAAGCUAAACCCGGGAGCAAUUCCAGCGAGUCUCCAGCUGAGGAAAAGAAGUUGAUUUAUUAUGGCUAGGGAGAGUGAAAACUACCGGUUGCAGGAUUCUGGAAUUUGAUGUGAAGGAAAACCAACUAUAAUAGCAGCAGGUGGGAACUUCUGACUUACUGAAGAUCUAUUUUUUCCCCCGAGAGAGGGAGAGAUAGAUAGAUAGAUAGAGUGAGUCUUCCUGUGUUUUACAGCUACAGCUCUGACUUCCUAACACCUCAUCCCAUCAAUGGAAGGGCGGCAGGGCCGUUUUCGGUGGAGAUCUUCCCUUGUGUUUUCCUCGUCCUAUAAAACUGCAUAGAAUUGGCAGAGAACUUUAGGGUAGAACGGGGUGUAGUUCCAGCUUGUCAGCACAUCUAACACUUCUUAAGAAGAAAAAUAUCUUUCUGCUCUGGGGAGCGGCAAGGAGAGAUCAGGCUCAAAAAAAGAGAAAGAUAAGGCAAAGGUGCUUACAAGAGUAUCAAAAACAGCCUGUUCUCAGAUUCAACGGAGUAAAGAUUUGAUCCUAUGCACUCAUCAUAAACUCUUGUUCAAACUGCAUGUCUCUGUGAUGUCUAUUCAUCAAAGACGGAAUGUGACCUUACAAAUAUUGACAAAACAACACUCUUUCUUUCAAGUGAAGGUUACGCAGUAAAAAAAAUGAAUAAUUUUAACAUUACCGUAGACUAUAACAGUGGCUGUGGUGCUCCUCCUCUUGGCCACGAUGUUCUUGGCUACGCAGGUGUAGUUAGCAGUA